CCAAUAUCAUCUGCACAGGGCAGCUGUUUGUGAAAAUCUUUUUGAAACUUGCAAAGUAAUUUCUGUCUUUGUGGUUGGUCCAUAGUGCUGUGGCUUGUUUUCACCACAGUGACUCUUAAUUUAAGGAACAAAAUGAUGGCAAUGACUCCUUUAACCAUAAUCAGCUGAAUUCAGACUCAGUUUGGAGAUGAAUGGAAAGAGAAGGCCCUUGGCUGACCUGGCCUCUGGACCUCCCAGAAACUGCUCCCACACUCCAGGGGCUGUCCCAGAAGCCCCACAGGAUCCUAAGCUGGUAUCUUUGUUUCAAGUGGUGCAAAUUUCCCAUUCUCUGCAUGUACCGAGAAGAUUCGUGGAAUAGUCCCUGUGGAUACUUCUAGCUGUGGCUAAGAUUCUUAAUCCAGUGCCUUGGACCACUCUGCCACGCUACUCAGCUACAGCUAAGAUUUUUUACACCACAAAGACAACAAAAAUCAGAGUCAGCAAAUGGAAAUGGUGCUUGGGGCAAAAUCUGCAGGGGAGGAGGCCAAAUUUCCAGGAGUCAUUUCCCAGUGGGGGCCCUCAAGAUGGGCCCAUUUCUCUGGCAAUGAGUGAGGACAGCAGGUAGGAAAGGGGGAAUUAUCAGGGGUACUCCCCCAGAGAUGUUUGCCCAGGGGUUUCACUGUGGGCCUAGGACACAAUAAGAUUCCAGACUUAAGAGCCCUUUCUGUCCUUCUUUGGGUACUAUGAAAGCAGGUGUUCAGUCCGAACCAAUCCUUGUGUCAUUAGACAGACCACAUUGUUUGUCCCACUUUAGAAAUGUGGGGGACACUCCAGUGGCAGAAGCUUCUUUGUGUUAACUUGGAGGGGUGUUGGAAAGAGAUGAACAUUUGAAUCAGUGGGUAUCUGUGGCUAUAAAUAACAUAGAGGAGCCCAUCUAGUGAACAAGAGGCCUGGAAGAAUAAUACCCAGCCUGCCUCCCUGAGCAAGAGUGAAAUCCUGAACAGACGCUUCUGGACUUCAAAUCAGCUCACCGGUGUUUCUUCCCACCAGCCCGUGGACUGGAACUGCACAUCAGCUCUUUUGAGUCUAAAGCCUGCCUAGCUACUCUGCAGAUUUUGGACUCACUAUCAGUGGCUUGUUAGUCAGUUUCGUACAAGACACUUUCUUCUCAUCCUACUGGUUCUGUUUCUCCAGAAACCUUGACCCCUCCCCAAACUAAAUUUUUCCAGAUACCAGCCAAGCCUCAACCUUGCAAGUAGAUUUUGCAAGAAUUGCAGAGCCCUUGAGAGAAGUCUCCCUCCACUGUGCCUUCCUGUUAACUCAUUUCUGCACAUUACUAACUUGCGUGCCAGAAGUCACAUGGAUGUUAAACCAUGGAGCAGUGGAGCUCACAAGCAAUCAUGGAGUUGAAGAAAAAGUACAUGGACAGAAGUUGACUGUUAGUGUAGGAAUGGUUGAGACAGCGGGCACAGAACCCGGAUCAGUGGCUUUCCUGGGGUAGGGGAACAUUCAAUGAGGACUCCAGAGUAAUGAGACUAAUUGUGGAGGACUGAAGAAGGCUAGAAACUCUUUGCCAUUCCUUACACGAAUAAGUAGAGUUGAUUUCCUGUAUUCCUAGAUCUGGAAUGGUAUGUAUUUACUGUCUCUAAUAGAAUGCAGUCAGUGUGGCAUUGUGGGAGUCCUGGAAAGGAGCUUUAAGCAGCCUGGCCCUUUUGUGUUUCUGUUCUUGGGACCCCUGAAUAGACAGGUGAUGAUGCCUGAGUACCUGCUGAAGAAACCAAGAGAAGGGGUGAGGGAGAACAGCCAGACACAAUAGGACCAGCUGUUCCAACUGAGGUGACACCCAGCUAAUUAAUGUCACUGUGCCUUAGCCAAAGUCAGCCUCAGAGGAAGCGUUGGAUAAAGACAGACUGUCAUAGCAUCACCCUGCAGGGUCCCACGGUGACCACGGAAUCAUGAACAAAUAAUACAAUGAGGUGGCUUGAAGCCAGUAACUGUGGGCAUCUGACUUCACAGCAAGAGAUAAGCAUUACAGAGUGGCAGCUGGGACAGUCGGAGCACAGUGGCUUCCUUGUAAUGAUGGAGCCCAGAGCAAAAAGCAGGAGCAAGACAUCUGAGCUGAGGCAGCAGGGCGGCUCGGAUCUUUUCCUGCCAGUUUUCCACUGUUUCACAACACUGACGUGUGUCACUUCACAGCAAAAACAAUCUGUACCCUUCUGAAUGAGGCACUACCCCGGAAUCUCUUCCAGACCUCAUCAGCCCUCAAACCACGGUCUGUGAGCAGCCGAGGGAGAUCCCAUACACAGUGAGUCAUGUUUAUCUUUGGAGUGCUGAACGCCUUGUGUGGAUCUUAGGUCACCGCUGACCCGUAGCCUGCAGCUUGUUUCUUCACCGGGAGCCAAAACACAGUGCAUAACCUCAUCUCCGGCAACAUUCUCAACAGGGCCCGAGUGUCUGUGCACGGGUGCCAAAUGUGCCUACAGUGAGUCCAGAAAUGUAAGAAUUGCCCACAGCCAGUCUGGCCGAUUUUCUGGACAGUACUGUUGAGGUACUUAAUUACAACACUUAAAUCUAAAUGUGCGUAUCCAGGCACUGGAUGCUCCAUUUAUAGCACAAGGGGAAUUCACCUAUCCAUUUAGCAACACAGCGGGGGAGGGGGGCUGGAGGGUGGGGGGGACACUUAGCCUGUCACAGACACAUUUAGAAGCCGUGCUUCCUGAACUCCGGGGAUUGCUUUUAUGUCUCUCACAAGAGAUAAGACAGGAUCAUAAGGGGAUCUGGUCAAGGCAACACAUGGGUAAAUGGCAUAACAGAGAAUACGGUGAGAGGAAAGUUCGGGGAUGGCGGACAUCACUUCUGGCCAAAGGAAAUAGAAACUUGAAAGAUUUCUUAGAAGUGUAAUCUAUCACCCUCAAACUCGGCAUUUAAAAGCCCCACACAGUUAUUAGCUAUAUGACCUUGUGCAAAUCAUAAAUUUUCGACGUCUUAGUUUGCUUAUCUUUUUAAAAGGAAGGGUUGGGCUAAGCGAUCUUAAAGGUUUUUCUGCUCUAAAGACCUGGGAUACAUGAGUUUUCAUGAGAAGACCCAGCUAAAUGUGUGACAAUCUAUUCUUCAUACAACCAGAGUGGCUUUUAAAACCCAAAUAAGAUAAUGUUUCCCAUGGCUUAAAACCCUUUCAUGGCAGCAUUUCAAAGAAAGCCCAAACUCUUGUGAUGCGCAGUUGCCUGUGCUCCCAGCAACUCUGACUCCCCCAUCCUCCCUCUGGCCUUCACCCAUUCACCCAGGGGCUUCUUUCCCUCUGUCUGAAUGUAGGAAUUGUAUUUUUCAGGGUAGCUGUGUUUCAAUUCUUGUUCCUCUGAACCCCUGCUUCCUCUGAGCUAGGCAGCCUGGGAGUGGAAAACAGUACCACCCAGGAAUCCUGGCAGGGUGAACCGUUGCAGGGAGAGCUGGCAAGGCGGAGUGUAGGCUUCUCCUUUGCUCUAUACUGACUUUCAGAUCCAUCUCUUGACUUCUCCCCACACUUCCAUCUCUGGCUUUCAGGGCUUUCAAUUGCUGAAGGUUUUUGGGGAGGCUUGACAAUGUGCCUUAGAUCCACUACUAAGUGCUCAGUGUUUUGCAUUGUGCUAGCCCACCCAACCUUGCACUUUUCAGCUUACAAAAAUGUCUUCACUCUUAGAGUCUACAAUCCUCUCCUCUCCUCUCCCCUCCCCUCUCCUCCUCUUCUCUCUUCUACUCUCAUUUCUUCUCCCCUUCUUUCCUCUCCUCUUCCCCUCUCCUUGGCCUUAUCUCCCUCUCCUUCUCCCUUCCCCCCCUCCUUGCCACUCAGUUCUCUCCUUUCCUCUCUCUUUUUUUGUCCCUCCCUUCUUUCCACCCAUUCUCUCUGUCUUUGUUUGUGCAAAGACAAGGAUUAAGGAAUGCCUCAUUUCUCCCGUGUUUAGAUGGAGUGCAUCUGGUUUCCUCUUAUGGUUGUUCCUCCUUGUUUAGGUAUUAGUUAAUGUAAGAGCUGGAUUCCAGUGCCUGUUCUGAGCCCCAGUAGGUCCCUCCUGGAACUGUUUAUUAAAGAGUCCUGCUGGCUUCUUUCUCAACAUUUGCUGUAAUAUUCAGCUAUGUUGUCAUUACUUAGCAAUUCAGUGAUUUUAAGUCUACCGCUCCCACUACAAUGCACUCACAGGGGAGGCAGGGGCCAUCCUUUUCCUCCCAUCAGUUAGUGCUAAGUGCUUAACACAGUACCUCAUUUUGGACAAAUGCUUGAGGAUUCCUCCUAAUGAAUGUUGGCACUCUCCAUUAACUGAGAUUUGCUGAGGGGAAAACGGGGUGAAAAGAGACAAAGAUCAGCAAAUCACACGAGGGAGAAGACUCAGGAACAUCAUCUUUGGUGUGCAAACUUUAGAAUAGGAGCUGUAAGACCUCUCAGAUGAAUUAUGUAACAGGGGACAGAGAUAAUGAUAUCCCAAAUGAAUUACAUAAGAGUGAGGGGCAGAGUUAACGAUUGUACAUUCACUCCUGAGGCUGCCGUACAAUUACAAUGAGUCCAUAUAGGUAGAGCUGUGGGAGCAGUGUCUGGCACGUAGUGUUGGAGUAGUUGGUUGGCGAUGGAAGCUGUAUAUCCAAGACCUGUUCAUUGCUUUAAGCCUCUGUGGUUAUUCAGGAAUAUUUAUUGCACCGAAUAACUAAUGCAAUGUACAACUGGUGGAAAUCUCACAAAGCAACCCAAAACCUCAUUUCCUUCCUCUCAUGGGUUGUCAAACCUGUUUACCAGAUUUCAAAGCUCUCUUUUGUUAUUUUGACUUUUUGUGUGUUUGUGUAUUGUUUGUUUGUUUGGCUACUACUACAGUCUGAAUCCAUCACAGCAAAUUUCAUAUGGAAACUCAGUCGCUAUUUUGUUACAAUUAAAACACAGGGCCUGCAAGAAAUCCUGGAUCACAGGGGUCAGCUCUCAGCUGGGAUUAGUGCUCCAUAAAUGACCCUGAUGGUAUCUGCUAGCCUCUCCAUUAUGAGGACAUAGCUUACAAGCUUCGUAUCAAACAUGACAUCUCUUUGUCCCUCCCUCACUCACCAAGAAGUCUACCACACCUGUGAGUACAUGGGAAGCACACAUUGAACUUGGUGGGCUAUAAGAGGCUGGGAAAAGGCUGGGGUGGAUCUGGAGGAGUUAGGGGAAUAGUGUAAAUGAAAAUGAUCAAAGUGCAUCACAUGUGUGUAUGAAAUUUUCAAAGGAUUAGCCAAAAUGUUAUAUUAAAUAAAAGAGCUCUACCACUAAGCUGUAUUCCACCUACAAACACCGAACAUUCUGAUGUCUUUUUCUGGCACCUCUGAGCCUCCAGAAAAGGGAGGACUAAAUCACUGCUUUUCAUAACUCAACUAAGCUGUGUGUGAGAGAGGGGUACACGUGUGUCAAGCUAUGGUUGUGAAGGGCUACACAGGCCAAGGUAUGGGCAUGGAGGUGUGUGUGGGAGGAGGGCUACACAUGUACCAGGGUAUGGUGAUGGGGGAUGUUCUUCUGUAUGCUGUGAAUAUACAAUAUACGUUUCUCUUAUUGGUUGUUGAAUAAAGCUGUUUUGGCCGAUGUACUGGCGGGAUGUAGUCAGGCAGGAAGAAUAGGCAGGGCUACCAGACUAGAAUUCUGAGAAGAGGAACAGAGUGAGUGAGUUGUGGGAGAGAUGCCAUGUAGCUGCCCAGAAAGAAAGAGGUCUGGACAUCACCAGUAAGCCAAGACCACAUGGAGAUACACAGAUUAAUAGAAAUGGGUUAAAAAUUAAGAGAGAGCUAGCCAAUAAGAAGCCUAAGCUAUAGGCCAAACAGUUUAUAAUUAAUAUAAGCCUCUGUGUAUAUAUUGGAGAUUAAACAGCUGCAGGGCUGGUCUACAUAUGGAUGAGGAGGUAUGGGGAGUACACAUGUACCAGGAGUACGGUUAUGCAGGCAUGGGGGGAGGGGUAACACAUGUGCCAGGGUAUGGAUGUGGAGGUCAGAGGACAAUUUAAAGACUUCGUUCUCUGCUUGCACUAUGUGGGUUCCAGGGAUUGAACACAGGUUAUCAGGAUUGGUGACAAGUGUCUAUACCUCCUUAGCUAUCUCACUGGUCCCCAGUUUGCUUCCAGAGAUGUCAUGUCCUUUUUCUUAGGCAGCAACUCGUGACAGUCAUCCCAUGAUAGCAAGGUUCCCUCUAAGACUCAUCAUCUCUUGCCUUGGACCACCACUGGCAACAUCAUGAGGCCAGGAAACACCUCUCUGCCUCUCAGGCUAGUCACAAGCUAAUCUCAGCUAAACAACAAAGCUUACCAAAGAAUUGAAUUAGUUAUUUCCAUAAAAGUGGAUCCUCUUUUAUACAUGACCCAUCAUUAAUAGUUCAAAAUCCUCAGACUCUAGCUAAGCCAAAUGUCCUGAAUCCCAUGUAUUCUGGGGACAGAAUUAUAUUUCACUGUAGGGACAUUUUCCUUGACCUUCUGUUGCCAAAUACUUUACUCCAGAGUUUUCUGCUCCUUCCCUUCUUGUCCCUCUUUCCUCAUUCAUCUUACCUAAAACACACACAGGCACACACACACACACACACACACACACAGAGAGAGAGAGAGAGAGAGAGAGAGAGAGAGAGAGAGAGAGAGAGAGAAAGAGAGAGAGAGAGAUUCUGAUUAAGGCUAUUCUUGUUGCCAUGUAAGACUUGCUGGCCAAAUUGUGGUGAAAUUUAACAAUGUGGUGAGAACAAGAAAUUGUGGCGUCGGGGAUAAGUAGUGUCCUGGUGAUGCCAGGGGCUACUCGUCGAGCUGACCGUGUGCUGAAAAUGGCAGACACUUCUUAAAAUGGCCCUUGGAAGAGCCAAUGGGAAUCCCAAGUAAAUGUCAGCCUUCUUGCUGACAGACAGGGAGGGGGAGUUGGGGAAGAGGGACUUCUAUUUUCCCAGUCAGGGUGAAUUUCCUCCAUUGUGAUAAGUGACCUCUUCUAUUUCCUAGCAAACUAGAUUAUAACCCUCCAAAAUGAAACACCUCGCCACUAAUACCUUCAUGAAAUGGGGUGGACAGCUGUUGUAUUUGCCUGUCUAGGCUGUAUCACUCUCUAGUCUGAUAACAGUCCGCUGGGAUCAUGGUGGGGGACAGCUCACUCCAUACUGGUGUCUAGGGCAGGCUCAAGACUCAAGCUGUGUCACCCCAGAAAGGAACACACUUGCCAAAAAAACUUUCUAAAAUGAAACUCAUUCACAUGCCUUGAUUCCAACCUCAGUAACCUGAAGAGGAUCCAGGCUGAACCUAGGCUCUCAUAGCUGCUCACACACCUGUACUGAGACCGGACUCUUAUGCCAUCAUUUUUAUUCUGGGAGCCAGUCCUAGACUUUUCUUUCUCUUUCCUUUUGAAAUCUUACAAUAUGGGUCUCUUGUGUCUUGUGUCUUCAGUCAAAUACCUCAAAGACCCAGUGGAAGAAGAGAUGGACCUGGGAUAUCACGAGAGGAAAUGUUGUAACCAUGCUCAUUCAUUAUUUGCUCUAUUGGGGAGUCUGUGGUGUUUCCCAAAAGUAUAUGUGCUAAAAAGGCAUAGUCCCAGCUUGGUUUUAUUGACAAAUGGCAGAACCUUUAGGAUAUUAGACCCAGGGAGAGGUCACUGGGGAUGCAUCUCUGCAGGGGACAGUGAGACUCUUGCCAUUCUUUGCUCCUUCUUUGCCUUUUCUACCUCAUCUGUACCAUAUGUUCAUACCACAAGAGUCUGUGCUGCCACUGGCCCAAAGCAGUGGGAUCAAGCAACUAUGAACCCUCUAAGUCUGCGAACCCAAAUAAAUGUGUCUUCUCAUAAGUAGAUUUAUUUCUAGUAUUUAUUGUGAUAGCAAAGAUUUGACAAAAACAAACAUGUACAGCAGGAAAGCCUGAUUCUCUCAUUUCUUGUUCAUGUUCAUUUCACCAUGAAGUCACAAAUUUCACGGCAACCCUCCUUCCCCCUACCAUAGCCAUCAUUUCUUUACUGAAUACAUUUUGAACACCUGCUGUAUGUCAGACUGUGAUUGUAAUGGCAAAAAUUCUGUUUUUGGUGAGGCUUGCAUUCCAAAAGGAAAAAGAGACAUUACUGAAGCAAACAAGUAGAUUAGCAAAGCAGCUGGACACAACAGUAUGAAAUAGGAGAAUGGCACAGAGUAACCACAGCCUUGUGGUUAGGGGAAACCUGCCUGAAGAGCAGACUUUCAAGACAUAGAUCAUUUUGGGGGAAGCAACCAUGUGAAACUAUGUGGGAAGGAAUGUUAUCUAGGCAAACAAAACAGCAAGGGAAAAGCCCCGACGUGGGGACAAGCAUGAUGUAUCACAACACAUGUGAGAGAAAGAUACAAAAUGGCCAAGGACAUUUGCAGGGGCCAAGUCAUGCUUGGGCUUCUAGACUUCACUAAGCUAAGAAGUUUGGAUUCAUCUUCAUUACUGCUGCAGUAAAAUGUGCCCUGUUCUGGUUUGGAACAAGCGGAAGCAUACGUGAAUUUCUGUCUUACACUGAAAGUUCCCUGUGACUCUAGUUUAAUGAUUUGCGACUGUUGCUGCUGCAACACUAACUGAGAAAUUUCCUAAGUGGAUGCAGACAAACUAAACUAAGGAGGAUCCAGUGUGCAUUGGAGACCCAGAGCUGUACCGGGGAUAGCUUUCCUCAGGGUGUGCUUCUGCAGCUCUUCUCAUGAUGGCUCCAUCAAGAAAGGGCUUCAUAGUUAGGUGGGCUACACACCUCAUCCAAUGAGUGAGCGUCUGAAUCCCAAGCCAAAGACCUAGACAGCAACAACAAAUAGAAAACUGUUGGUCUUAUUUGCUUGCCUCUAUAUUUCCCAAAGUUGAUUACCUUUGGAGCUCAGUUUCAUGAGAAACGUAUCAAUUUCUUAUGGACCAGUCUUGAAACACUGCUUAAAUAAUUUACACAACCUAUCUUCUCUUCUAUAAAUAAUUUAAUCAUUAACUAUAGCCAGACUCCUACAGCAUCCCACAGAGAAAGAGAACCUGGAUGGACAGCUCCAAACUCUUGGUUCCAGCUUAGGUCAGAUGAGGCCAUGGCUCUGCAUUUGAAUUCCUUAAACCACAACACAAAACUGAAUGUUACUACUCAUCAAAGCUCCUGACAGGACUGAGUAAAGGACAAGCAAAAGAUGUGAGGAUAAUGUAUUCAACAAUUUUUAAAGAUUAUAUAUUAAGAUUCUAUGUUCUAUAUAUGCCAUAGUCUAUAUGCACAGCAUAUAUACUAUUCCGUUAUCUAUUAUAUAUACUUAGGAUAUGUUACCCAGAAUCCUUUAAUGAUAUAUGUGUAUAUCUUAUAUAAAACAUACAGACACUUUCUUUUAUUAGUUGAGAUCUAGGUUACUGCAAUCCACCCUUACAUUUCAAUGCUUUAUGUAGCAAAUGGUCCAUUUCUCUCACAUACAUCCUCCAUUUCAGGUAUUGCUCUUCAGGUAAUUCUCUUGGGUGAUUUCCAGCUAGAUAGAAACUCAGGGAUCCAGGUUUUCCUAACAGGGAAAAGAAGAAUGUAUGGAGGACUCCACAAAAUUAUUUAAUACUGCAAGUACGCUCUCAUUUUAUGGGUUAGAGCAGCUAUGGAACUCCUUCUCAAGGCAAGGCGCCUUGGGAAAAUGGUAUUUCUCAGUCCCACAAAGAAAUGGAGUCCGUAAACACAUAAUACAUAAGCACACAGUAUUGUCUUAGAGACAGAUAAAACUCCCAAAUAGUCUAUGAGCCUCUCUGAGACGUGGUGCUUGGUAGGUGCAAAUGCUCACAAGGAAGCAGUUGGUAUGGGUUUGUUUUCUUCUCUGACCACAUCCUUUGUUAACAUUUAGGACAAAGACCUUCUAAAGUCACGUGAACGAUUUCAGAGAAAACUGGAAAACACUCUCAUGGAAAUGCAGUCUGGAGAGAGACAGAGAGAGAGAGAGAGAGAGAGAGAGAGAGAGAGAGAGAGAGAGAGAGAGAGAGAGAGAGAGAGAGACAGAGAGAGAGACAGAGAGAGAGACAGAGAGACAGAGAGAGACAGAGAGAGAGAGAAUAAGACCCUACACAAACACAGCUAAGCACCAACCAUAGACUCUGCCAACUAUUCCAAACUAAUUGCUGCUGUGCACAGGCAACAUAAAUCUAUUUUCAAUUGUAGAUGGGGUUUCUUUCCUGCCUGGUCCCGCUGCCAUUUAAACAAGCAGGAAAGAAACCCUGUCCACAGGCAGUGGGAAAGGCUGAAAGGGUGACAUGGGUUGGAUAUGUGAACUAAUUGGAGCCAGAAGGAAAAUAUUGGGGAGCAGAAAUCUUUAUACAGUAUUUUUCAUCAGACUGUAAUCUUCCUAGCUACAAAAUUACAUAUAUAGGAAAGGCAGAAAAACACAAAACAAAGUGAAAACCACUAUUAAUCCCAGUUCCCAUCCACUCUACACAAAAUCCUCACUGUUUAAAUGAUUAUUAUCUACUGUUCUUAUAGAUGAACUCAACUUUUCAUAGCAUAUAUUUCCCUCUAAAUACCACACUCACUCUGCAGGUUUUGUGGCUCAUUUUUAUAAAGCUCACAAUAUCGUCUGGAUGUUUCAUAAUAUUAUUAUGGAUGGCUACAUAGUCAACAAUGGUUGAGCAUGACUGUUUCUAGCUUUUUUUUCUCAUGAAAAAAAUUGGCAUAUUGAGCAUCUCUCUGUGCCCAUUUUCUACAGAUAUCUGAUCAUUUGUAUUCUAAGAGAUUUGUGAUAAUGUUGACUAACACUUAAUGAAGUUUAUAGUGUGCUUAAUUUUGAAGUAAGUUUCUUACUUUCUGCAUCUAAGUCAGUCUUUCAAACAAGUGUCUGCUGGUCAUAUUAACAGUGUAUCCAUGCUCUACGUAAGGAAACAAUGUCUGAGAAAAGGUAAAUCCUUUGCCUGUUAUGAUACAGCUACUUAAUGGAAGAAACCGGAUUUGAACCCAGAGUGACUGACUUCAGCAUCCAAGAUCCUCCAUUUCCUACUCUACCCUGGAGAGCACUUAAAUUCUCACUAGCAGAUUAACCUUCAUGGAGAGUUGACAGAGUAAUGGAUAUGGCUUGAGAAGGGGUAUGUAUAAUCAAGAGGAACUGCUUAUAUGAUGGCUAAGAGAAGAAGAGAAGGUAAAGUUUUAUGAGGGACAGUAACUUUUGCCGGUUGAAGUAAAAACAAAAAACUAUGAGUUAAUAUAUCCAGAGAGGCAAAGUCAUUUCAAAGGACAAUCUCCAAGCCAAAGUUCAGGACUGUUUAAAAAUUAUUGAAAGGGACAAUGGGAGUGCCUGUCCAGUUGAACAAAGAGGAGCGAUGUCAAAACAGUACUUGAUAAAGACAUACUCUGAGUCGGUCUUUGAUUUAAGAAAGUGGCCUUUGGCUUGUGGAAUGAGAUAAAAUCCAAGUUUCUGAGGCCUUUUAGGAGACCCUUUGUCAUAAUUUUCCUCCAGUCUGACAACUUCUCUGUGGGGAUGCACUUUCUUCACAGUAGCUGGAGAAUCUGAAGGGAGCCAGAAGCCAGGGCCUUAGAUCCUGUUUUCACUUCCAGCCUCCACUCACAACCACUUCCCAGAAGGCCUUGCAAGUCCCUGAUGGAAUCAGGGAGGGAAGAUUGAUGGCAAGAGGCAGAAAAGUCAACUAUAGAAAUGUUAGGACAGGGUGGAAGAUGAGAAUUAUGAGUUUAUAUUCUGUGUUCAGACGACCUAGGUUCAAAUGCAGGUGACUGUUGACUAACAACAUGACUAGGGCGAGAUGACUAUCCUCACUGUACCUCAGUUUCCUUAAUUGUAAAAUAUGAUAGUAAUAAUAAUACCUACUCUGCAGAUCACUGUGAAGAUCAAAUGAGGAGAUCAAAGUCACAGAUGCGGGCUACCAUCCCCACAAGGUAAAGCCUGAUGGCUUGACAGUUCAUGCCCAUUGUCCCAGCUCUAGGACACCAUAGGCCAUCAUAGAUAUGUAUGAAUUUAAACAUGAGUUUAGGUCCUGUUAAACCCUUGUUCCUAUGGAACAGACACACAUUAAUUGAAAAUCCUAAAUAUGCUUAUUUACAAACAGCUUACACUCUAAUGCAGAGAUUCUCAACCUGUGGGUCAAGAUGUGUCCUUUUCACGGGGGUGACAUAUCAGAUAUCCUUAGUAUCAGAUGUUUACAUUACAAUUCAUAACAGUAGAAAAUUAUAGUUAUGAAGUAGCAAUAAAAGUAAUUUUACAGUUGGGGAUCACCAUAGCGUGAGGAACUGUGUUGAAGGACAGCAUCAGGAAGGUUGAGAACCACUGUGCUAAUGCUUUCUUUUCCCUUCUGAACUUUCUGGAAACCAGCUGCACUCUUCUAUGUGCACAGAGAACUCUUGGACCCAUGUCCCCUUUUACCUCCUCUCCGUCAGACCUUACUCCCCUCAUCUCUGCUUGCAGAUUAGGCAAUUUCUGUGUGCACAGAUGUACAAGGAUCUCAGCUCUACCAUCUCUCCUGUCCCAUUCCCCUGAUGGUAGCGGAAGCUGCAUCAGGACCAGGGACCUUAGCCAUACUGGUUAGAGGAAAUGUAAAUAUACUAGAGACUUGGUAUUGCUCCCAAGUUGGCAAAGUACCUAGAAGUCUCCUACUGAAAGGACAUAAAGACCCCCACCUACUGUCUCAAAUAUCUUUAACUGAAGCUUGUUCUCUUAGACGUUAGCAUUUCUAAUGCUCUCUAAACCUGAUGAUUUGUUUGAGGUCAACUAAUGGACCAAUCUUACAAUUAAAGCAAUAAUUAUAAGAUACACAGCUGCUUGCUGUACUGAGAAUUAAAUGGGAUGGAAGGGAUAUCUGGGAACUAACUACUAUGGAAGAAAUUAUGUCGAUGGGGAAAUGCACUCCAAAUUCCAGAUAACUCAUUCACUCACUGACUUUUGGAAUAUAAUGCUUUAAUAGGUUAAAAAGACUGACUAAAAAUAUUAAGUCUCUUAAUGAAAUUUUUAUUCAUGUAAUUCUUUGGAUUUUUAUCUUAAGAGAUUGAAGCAAUUCUAGUCUCCUCCACAAGAAUUGUUUCCCUGGUAUGGGAGACAUAAUUAAAAGAGGACUUUGGAUUUUCUGAGAUGAUAGGUAGGACCCAACUAUUUUAAUUAGUUUAAUGGAUGUAAGACCAAUUGUUUUAAGGCAGUAGACAAAAUGAUUCAUGUUAUUGGCAGGUUUGUCCACUUGAUUUCCCAAGGGUCAAUCAUUUCAGCUCACACGAAAGAUGCAUCUAUUGUAGGUGAGAACAUUUGAGAAAUAUUUUGGAAUCAUUUCAAAAUCACAUUCUACAUGUGGAAGUAACAGGAACCCAUCUAAAGCCUUUUUUAUUACCUCUACAAUACUAAUGAGUUCCCGCUCACAAGGAGACAUGACAUUUAUAUCCUUUCAAGUUUUCCUUCCUUUUGGGCAGCUUUAAAACAAAAACGGACUAUUUUUCCUUCAUCAUUAUAAACUGGGCAUCUGGUGAGAUUUUUAAGCAAACGAGUGAGAGUUAGCCAGGCUGUGGUGGUGCACGCCUUUAAUCCCAGCAGUUGGAAGGCAGAGGCAGGUGUAUCUCUAUGAGUUUGAGGCCAGCCUGAUCUAAAGGGUGAGUUCCAGGACAGCCACGGUUACACCAAGAACCACUGCCUCAAAUAACAACAACAACAACAAAGCUGAGAAAAAUACAUUUAUGAAGGACCUUUUUGUCUGUGAUUUAAACUCAAGCAGAAAAGCUGCCUCCUGCAAGUGGGCAGGGUGUGGGCCUGGCCAGAAGACUGGAUUUUGGCUCUGCUGCCUGGGGCUUUGAUGAAGUCACUCACGGGUGAGCCCCAUUAUCUCCAUCUGAACAAAUGAGGUUUGGCAUCGGUGCCUGUGAGCUCCUUCCCGACCCUCUGUUUUGUUUUUGUGGUUGGAAAUAAUGCAGGGAUUUGGGGGAUGCAAUCUUCCCAAAUCCAGGCUUUCCACUCUGUCACUUCAGGGGAAGCAAGGGGCUGCCAACAUCACUUUUGCUUUCAGUUCCUAUCAACACGAACUGUGCUUAAACAACCAGUAAGUUAGGCCUCUCUGAACAGCAAUUGGUAUGUUCCAAAAAUUAGCUUAAUUUCCCUUUCCUCCCCCCCCCCUUUUUCUUUUCCUCUCCUUCCUUCCUUCCUUUCACGUCUUAAAGAAAAAA
rnacentral:lncRNA from 1 species